AGUGAACGCUGGCGGUAGGCCUAACACAUGCAAGUCGAACGGCAGCACAGUAAGAGCUUGCUCUUACGGGUGGCGAGUGGCGUACGGGUGAGGAAUACAUCGGAAUCUACUUUUUCGUGGGGGAUAACGUAGGGAAACUUACGCUAAUACCGCAUACGACCUACGGGUGAAAGCAGGGGAUCUUCGGACCUUGCGCGAUUGAAUGAGCCGAUGUCGGAUUAGCUAGUUGGCGGGGUAAAGGCCCACCAAGGCGACGAUCCGUAGCUGGUCUGAGAGGAUGAUCAGCGACACUGGAACUGAGACACGGUCCAGACUCCUACGAGAGGCAGCAGUGGGGAAUAUUGGACAAUGGGCGCAAGCCUGAUCCAGCCAUACCGCGUGGGUGAAGAAGGCCUUCGGGUUGUAAAGCCCUUUUGUUGGGAAAGAAAAGCAGCAGGUUAAUACCCCGCUGUUCUGACGGUACCCAAAGAAUAAGCACCGGCUAACUUCGUG
rnacentral:rRNA from 1 species